UACGUAGGGUGCAAGCGUUACUCGGAAUUACUGGGCGUAAAGCGUGCGCAGGCGGCUUUGCAAGACAGAUGGGAAAUCCCCGGGCUUAACCUGGGAACUGCAUUUGUGACUGCAUGGCUGGAGUGCGGCAGAGGGGGAUGGAAUUCCGCGUGUAGCAGUGAAAUGCGUAGAUAUGCGGAGGAACACCGAUGGCGAAGGCAAUCCCCUGGGCCUGCACUGACGCUCAUGCACGAAAGCGUGGGGAGCAAACAGG
rnacentral:rRNA from 1 species